rnacentral:lncRNA from 1 species
UGCUGAUGCUGCUGGUCUGGAACAUGAUCUUCGCAGUAAGAUUAUACACUUCCCCACAUUGAAAUUGGGAAGAAGAAAUAUGGAGAGCAGUUCAAGGCAUAAGGGGCUCUGGGGAACAACAUAAUUUUGCUUUAAUUCUCCAGCUUGUUUUCAGUAAGGGUGGAAGGAGAAAGAGAGGAAGUAUAGAAUUUACACACUUCAG